AGGGCGUAAACCUAACGUAUUCUAUAUUUUUAGUAACCGUGGUAACUAUAUGUAUACAUUUUGACCUAAUUGUCAGUAAUAGUCAUUUAACGUUCACUCCAAGGUAUUUAUAGUUGAUUGAUUUUUCAAACACAAAAUUAUCAAUCACCAUCGGUGUUGUCUACUAAUUUUAGAUUCUAAAAGAAGCGAGGAACGUAUAUUGGUUUUACUAUCAUG